GGAGGUGAUGUUCCAGCUGAGCCCUGAAGGAGAAGCAGCUAGUUUUGCAGGUAUCUGCAGGGCAUGUUCCAGGCAGAGGGAACAGCAAGUGCAAAGGCCCUGAGGGUUUGGCCCUUUUGGGGAACACACUGUGAACGCCAGCUGGAUUGCAGUCCAGG
rnacentral:lncRNA from 1 species